rnacentral:snRNA from 1 species
AUCGCUUCUCGGCCUUUUGGCUAAGAUCAAGUGUAGUAUCUGUUCUUAUCAGUUUAAUAUUAUCUGUAUGAUCAUGAAAAAAUGAGUUGAAACAGGAGCACCCAAG